ACUGAAUAGAUACCCUGGUAGUCCACGCCCUAAACGAUGCUCACUAGGUGUUGGGGAAGCGAUUCCUUGGUAACCGUAGCUAAACGCGUGAAGUGAGCCGCCUGGGGAGUACGGCCGCAAGGUUAAAACUCAAAGGAAUUGACGGGGACCCGCACAAGCGGUGGAUGAUGUGGAUUAAAUUCGAUGCAACGCGAACAACCUUACCUACCCUUGACAUGUCUGGAAGGCUGCUGAAAGGUGGCUGUGCCCGAAAGGGAACCGGAACACAGGUGCUGCAUGGCUGUCGUCAGCUCGUGUCGUGAGAUGUUGGGUUAAGUCCCGCAACGAGCGCAACCCUUGUCCCUAGUUGCUACGCAAGGGCACUCUAGGGAGACUGCCGGUGACAAACCGGAGGAAGGUGGGGAUGACGUCAA
rnacentral:rRNA from 1 species